UGUGCCCCGGCCUCUUCUGCCAUUCUUAACUAUUAUUAUACCCAUCUACUACAUAUUUUCAGUUCUAAAAUUUUAUUUUUUACAGUUAUAAUUUCUCUACUGCAACUUUCCCUCUGUUUACUCAUUAUGACCAUGUUUUCCUUUAAUUCCUUGGCUAUAUUUAUAACUGCCUUAAAAUCCUUGUCUGAAAAUUUCAACAUCAAAGGCAUUUAAUCUCAGGGCUUGUUUCUAUUGACUGUUGUUUUCCUUGAUCAUGGGUCUUAUAUUCAUGUUUCUUUGAAACUCUAGCAAUUUUUUAAAAAAAUUUUAUUCUGGAUACUAUAGACAAAAUGUUUUCAUGAUUCUAGAUAAUCUCUUUUUAAAUUAGAAGUGCUCUGAGUUUUGUUUUGGCAGCAGGGAAAUUACCAACUGAUCUUUUUGGUCAUACCAGGCUUCAUGUCUUUCCUUUCAUGGACAUGAACUUAUUCUAGUUAUGGGCUAAGGUGUGGCCCUUAUUUGAGGGUAUAGCUUUUACUGCUAUGGUGUGGACUUUCUGAGGUUUCAACUGAAUGCCUGACUGAGAUGCUCAAUGAGUUCUCUCCAUUCUGGCUGAGCUGGAGCUCCAGCAUCUCCUGGUGGUGCAUAGCAAUAAUGCCUUCAUUCAUUCCCAGCCCUGCAGAAGGCAACCACUGCUAGGCCCUGUGUACUGCCUGCCAUGGUGUGGGCAGCCUUCAGCCAAAAACCAGCAAUGAGUCUUCAUCAAGACUUCUGGAAACCCUUGUCCUCAGCUUCUGCUCUUGCACUUGGCUCCCCAAAUCUCAGCUGCUUCUGAGACCACAGCUCCAAUCUCCUCCUCAGGUCAGUGAGGCCACAGUUCUGCUGGAGAUGUGCAGGAAACGGUCCCAGGCAGAGCACUGGGGCAAACUGAGCCUCACCUCUCAUGUUUCCUUUCUCUCAAGAAUUACAGUUCUGUGCUGCCUGUUGUUUAAUGCCUUAAAACAUUUGUCAUGCACAUUUUACCAGCUUUAGAGUUGUUUAUGCCAGGAGGAAAUGCCCAAUGCCAGUCACUCUAUCAGAGCUAGAGGAAAAGUUCACUGUCAGUUUUCAUUUGCUAGCCUAUGGGAAUAUAUAUAUACUCACACACAUACACACACACACACACACUCAUUGCCUCUUAAAGUCAGUGUUACCAGAGAUUACAUUCUACAAAGUCUGUCAGUUGAUCUGAUCUCUGCUUCACACUAUUAGUUAUUUAUGGAGUACGGUGGAUGUAUGCAAUAUUCCAUAAGCCUGAGUGAAGUCAACAGACCUGCUCCAGGGUGUGUACAUGUCAACGUCAGACAAAUCAGAAAUGGUAGGUAGCAAGACUGGAUAACAUUUCAAAGGUGCCAGUCGGGGGUAUGCACAAAUGACAGGUCCCUUUGUUGUUUCAGAGAGCUCCUCAAAGAGGGAACUGACAGCACUUUCUAAGGAAUGAAACACAAAUAUUGAAAAUCCAAGAGUGACUUCUGAACCUAUGAACAGCUCCUUCCUGUGUUCUAUUACACUGCCUUCCCCUUUUCAAGUUAAAAGAGACUGAGCAAUCACAUGCAAAGAAUUUGAUUAACAUCUACUAGAAACUCAGCCCUCUGUGAAUGCCAGAGGAAGGAGCUGGAAGGAGGAGAAGGAAAAGAGAAAAAAAGAAGAAGGAGAUGAGGGUUUCUAGAUGAAAUGGUGUGACUCUUUGAUAACUUGUUUGUGUCAUCACCUGUAAACAAGAUACUAAGGGAUUAUUCAAGAUGUCAGAACCAGCCACAUCCAAGGCAGGUUUAAGGACUAUAGGACAAAACACUGCCCCUAAACUCUGCCCC
rnacentral:lncRNA from 1 species